AUUCCUACGGGAGGCAGCAGUGGGGAAUAUUGGACAAUGGGCGCAAGCCUGAUCCAGCCAUGCCGCGUGAGUGAUGAAGGCCUUAGGGUUGUAAAGCUCUUUUGUCCGGGACGAUAAUGACGGUACCGGAAGAAUAAGCCCCGGCUAACUUCGUGCCAGCAGCCGCGGUAA
rnacentral:rRNA from 1 species